GCCGCAGCCGGCCGAGCGGUCGGACUCGUAGCCCACCAGCGGCGUGCAGACCCCGUCGGCCACCUGGCCCACGAGCAGCAAGGUCCCCGCGUGGGUGGUGCUGUAGCCCAGCACGGCGUGGAAAUAGACCAGCAGGUAUGCACGGACAACAACAGAGAGGAAGGGCACAACCAAAGAGACAAGGGCUCUGAUUCUGUACGUCCAUGCGAAGCGAUUGCUAAACACCGAAGCAGGAUUCCCUGCUGUCACCAGCACGUGACACCCACUGACUCUGGUGUAAAUUACACAAGGUGCAAGGCAGGCAAGAAUCAAGCCAGAUGUCUCUUUUCCAAGAGAGUUACAACCUAAGGACCCAAUCCUGGAAACACUACCAGGCAUCUGGGCCCAGAUCCUCAAAGGAAAAAGACUUGUAUACAGGGGUCCCGCAAAAUCUAAUAGCCCCGGGCCCACAGGAGAGUUAAUCCGGCCCUCACUAUCUGGUAUUGGCCCCUGCAGGACAUCCGACUGGAUAGCAUGUGACGGGAUAGGGACGACGCUAUUUAUAAAGUAACUGUCCCAAGAAAACAACAUGGGCUGAGAAUGCGUUGCCAGAAUAUUGAACUGCCCACCUCUUCGCAGGGCUGAUCAGCUGACACAACUGAGAUGGAGGACGGUCUUGAAAUUAAAGCACCGGACUGUGAGUCAGGGCUCCUGACCUCUGGGCUUGGCUCUGCCACUGAUUCGCUGUGUGACUGUAAAUAAGGCCUUUAACCACUCCGUGCCUCAGUUUCCCCAUCUGCAAAAUGGAACGUAAGAAUGGCAUGCCAGGUCAGACCAAUGAUCCAUCUAACUUAGUAUCCUGUCUUCUGACAGUGGCAUGGGCCACCUGCUUCAGAGGGAGUGAACAGAACAGGGCAAUUAUCACGUGAUCCAUCCCCUGCCAUCCAGUCCUAGCUUCUGACAGUCAGAGGCUUAGGGACACCCAGUGCAUGGGGCUGCAUCCCUGACCAGCUUAGCUAAUAGUCAUUGGCAGACCUGUCCUCAAUGAACUUAUCUAAUUUUUUUUUAAACCCAGUUAUACUUUUGGCCUUCACAACAUCCCCUGGCAAUGAGUUCCACAGAUUGACGGUGUGUUGUGUGAAGUACUUUCUUAUGUUUGUUUUAAACUUUCUGGCUAUUCAUUUUGUUGGGGGAAUCUGUGAUUCAUGUGUUAUGUGAAGGAGUAAAUAACACGUCCUGAUUGAUUUUCUCCACACUAUUCAGGGUUUAUAGACCUCUAUUUUAUCCCUUCUUAGUCAUCUCUUUUCUAAGAUGAACAGUCCCAG